rnacentral:rRNA from 1 species
GAUGAACGCUGGCGGCGUGCCUAAUACAUGCAAGUCGAGCGAACGGACGAGAAGCUUGCUUCUCUGAUGUUAGCGGCGGACGGGUGAGUAACACGUGGAUAACCUACCUAUAAGACUGGGAUAACUUCGGGAAACCGUAGCUAAUACCGGAUAAUAUUUUGAACCGCAUGGUUCAAAAGUGAAAGACGGUCUUGCUGUCACUUAUAGAUGGAUCCGCGCUGCAUUAGCUAGUUGGUAAGGUAACGGCUUACCAAGGCAACGAUGCAUAGCCGACCUGAGAGGGUGAUCGGCCACACUGGAACUGAGACACGGUCCAGACUCCUACGGGAGGCAGCAGUAGGGAAUCUUCCGCAAUGGGCGAAAGCCUGACGGAGCAACGCCGCGUGAGUGAUGAAGGUCUGCGGAUCGUAAAACUCUGUUAUUAGGGAAGAACAUAUGUGUAAGUAACUGUGCACAUCUUGACGGUACCUAAGCAGAAAGCCACGGCUAAAUACGU